rnacentral:tRNA from 1 species
GGCCUGGUGGUCUAGUAGUAUGAUUCCUUGUUAGGGCAACCUGAAUCGAGGAGGUCCCGGGUUCAAUUCCCGGCCAGGCCC